rnacentral:rRNA from 1 species
UUACCUGGUCCGGACAUCAAAAGGAUAGACAGACUGCCAGAUCUUUCUUGAUAUGGUGAUUGGUGGUGCAUGGCCGUUCUUAGUUCGUGGAGUGAUCUGUCAGGCCAAUCCCGGUAACGAACGAGACCACAUUCUCCAUUUGACGAGCCGGAGAAGGUGUUGGUAUCGUGGAUUUUUGUUUACAAGGGUCUGCGGUAUCAAUAUCGUAGGUAUCGUGAAGCAGCACAAGGUGUUUCGGUUGAGGUGGCAACACUGAGGCUGACGCACUUUGGGUUAACUCUGCGCUCCCUCCGGCUUAGCAGUGCAUUUCUUGCAAAAGCUGUGUAUUGUAUCAUGGAGAGACAACGGAACAUAUUAAAAAAAUCCGAGGAAGUGUGGCUAUAACAGGUCUGUGAUGCCCUUAGAUGUUCAGGGCUGCACGCGCGCUACAAU